AGUGAACGCUGGCGGUAGGCCUAACACAUGCAAGUCGAACGGCAGCACAGUAAGAGCUUGCUCCUACGGGUGGCGAGUGGCGGACGGGUGAGGAAUAUAUCGGAAUCUACUUUUUCGUGGGGGAUAACGUAGGGAAACUUACGCUAAUACCGCAUACGACCUACGGGUGAAAGCAGGGGAUCUUCUGACCUUGUGCGAUUGAAUGCGCCGAUGUCGGAUUAGCUAGUUGGCGGGGUAAAGGCCCACCAAGGCGACGAUCCGUAGCUGGUCUGAGAGGAUGAUCGGCCACACUGGAGCUGAGACAGGGUCCAGACUCCUACGGGAGGCAGCAGUGGGGAAUAGUGGGCAAGGGGCGCAAGCCUGAUCCAGCCAUCCCGCGUGGGUGAAGAAGGCCUUCGGGUUGUAAAGCCCUUUUGUUGGGAAAGAAAAGCAGCAGGUUAAUACCCCGCUGUUCUGACGGUACCCAAAGAAUAAGCACCGGCUAACUUCGUG
rnacentral:rRNA from 1 species